rnacentral:misc_RNA from 1 species
AACGCACAUUGCGCCCGUCAGUAUUCUGGCGGGCAUGCCUGUUCGAGCGUCAUUUCAACCCUCAGGACCCUUUUUUGGGGACCUGGCGUUGGGGAUCAGCCGCCCCGGCCUGUGCCGCCUCGUCGCGCGCGGUGCCUGGCUGACCCUGAAAUACAGUGGCGGUCUCGCUGUGACUCCUUUGCGUAGUAAUCUCACCUCGCACUGAAGCUCGCGGCCUGGCCACGCCGUAAAACCUCUCUCGGUAGAGAAGCACAAUCUUGGUUGACCUCGGAUCAGGUAGGGUUACCCGCUGAACUUAA